GGCAAAGAAGGAGAGCGAGCCGGCGAAUCCCAGCACGACCAUGACGAGGAGCUGCCAGUGCAACAGCAGGAAGUUGCUGUAGAAGAAGGCCAACGCCGCCAGGAUGGACUGAGGAGCAAACACAACAGCCAGUCAAAACGAUCAAUUGUUGCAUGACUACGUCCGAGGAUUCAAGCUUGAGAAGCAAGGUCCCCAAAAC